GACGAACGCUGGCGGCGUGCUUAACACAUGCAAGUCGAACGGAAAGGCCCUGCUUUUGUGGGGUGCUCGAGUGGCGAACGGGUGAGUAACACGUGAGUAACCUGCCCUUGACCUUGGGAUAACUUCAGGAAACUGGGGCUAAUACCGGAUAGGAGCUCCUGCUGCAUGGUGGGGGUUGGAAAGUUUCGGCGGUUGGGGAUGGACUCGCGGCUUAUCAGCUUGUUGGUGGGGUAGUGGCUUACCAAGGCUUUGACGGGUAGCCGGCCUGGGAGGGUGACCUGCCACAUUGGGACUGAGAUACGGCCCAGACUCCUACGGGAGGCAGCAGUGGGGAAUAUUACACAAUGGGCGGAAGCCUGAUGCAGCAACGCCGCGUGCGGGAUGACAGCCUUCGGUUUGUAAACCGCUUUCGCCUGUGACGAAGCGUGAGUGACGGUAAUGGGUAAAGAAGCACCGGCUAACUACGUG
rnacentral:rRNA from 1 species